CAUUUGCAUCCAGAGAGAGGAGCAUGGAGACUGAAUGUGGAUCACAACAUAGUAUUUUCACCUUUGCUGUUGUUGCUUGCUUGUUUCUUUUUCUUUCUCAUUUCCCCCUCUUUUUGAUCUGUUUUUUCUUAUGUAGCAUGAUAUAUGUGGAAACAUGUUUAGAAGAAUUUAUUAUUUUGGAUUAAACUUAUAUUGGAUUACUUGCUGUCUAGGGAAAGGGGGAGGUGGAGGAGGGAGAAAAAUUUGGAACACAAGGUUUUACAAAGAUGCAGGGAUGUAUGUUGAAUACUAUCUUUGUGUGUAUUUUGAAAAAAAAAAAAACAAUUAUCUAAAAUAUUCUCUUUUCCCCCCUCACUUCCUCAUUCACAUUGAAGGAAUGGGGAAAGGCAGUCUCCUAUCUCAACUCCUAUCUAUCCUUUCUUUGUUUUUCAGCUCUAAAAGAACCAACCAAGAAAGCAGUUUGCUAUCCUAAAAAAGGAGGUUGGAAAAGAUGCUGCCCAGAUUCAGCUGUAAAACAACCAACCAAGCAAGCAGCUUGCCAUUCUCAGAGGAAGCGGGAAAAGGUCUUGGCCAGAUCAAAGAUCCUGGCCAGAUCAAAGAUCCGGGUCAUUUGCAGGGGUUUCUCAACAGUACUGCGCCUUGAUGAAGUAGAGUCCCGUUUUGAUGGACGACGUUCCAUCGUAUCCCGGCGUCUCUCCUUCUCCUCUGACUCACCCUCCUAUUAUUCAUCAUUGAAGAACAAAGACCCAGUCAUCAAGAAUUACCUAUCAACUCAAAUGCUCACACAUGUUGUCCUGUGCCACAGCCCUGCAUUUUACCUGGGAUAUCUGACUUAUUCUCAUCAGUCUCUUUGAAAUUUCCUCAAAUUCUUGUCAAAUAUCAGAAUGAGAGAAAACUGACAACCUAGAUACUUUCUUUUUUCUCAUUUCCUCAUUCACAAAGUAGGAAUGACAGAAGAUUGUCUUCUGCCCUCUGCUCCUAUCUUUACUUCCUUUGUUUUCCAGCUCUAAAACAUCCAACAAACAAGCGGCUUGCCAUUCUAGAAGAAGACAUGGGAAACUGUACUGGCCAGAUCCAGGUCUUUUGGAGGUAUUAUUAAAUCUGUAUUAUUGUUAUUAUUAUUUUUGCUGAGGCAAUUGGGGUUAAGUGACUUGUCCAGGGUCACACAGCUAAGAAAUAUUAAGUGUCUAAGGCCGGAUUUGAACUCAGGUCCCUCCUGACUUCAGGGCUGGUGCUUUAUCCACUGUGCCAUCUAGCUGUUCCCUAAAUCUGUAGAUAUUUUUUAAAGCAUUCCCUAAAUAGACAAAUAAACUUUUUCUAAUUUGA